AGACGAUUUCCCCCCACUCCCCUUUUCACAAAUGGAAGACAGCAUCGUUGCCAAUGAUGAUCAAGAAUGAGCAAUACAUUUUUUUAUUUAAAAAAAUUCAGAUAUGGCCAUAUUGUUUUUCGUGACCAAAGUGCAUGUUUUGUUAUUAUUGCCAUAUACAGUAAAUUAGAUGCAUUCUGGGAUAGUGUCAACAUGGCAGCCUGGGUGUUGUUCAAGCUUGUAGCCAAAGAACUAACCCUGUUGUACACUUCUGAAAAAAGUGCUCAGUUUAUUUGCAUUUUGUUACAUUUCCGUGAACAAAUGUUUCAACACCACGGCAACACAAGAUUUAUGGAGACAGCCACGUUAGGACAACUUGCUAGUCGACUAAUUCCGGUAGUCAGCUGAUCAGAUCACGGCUAUACACAACACAAUUAGCCAAUGCAGGGAACUUCUCUGGACAGCCUAGUAAAGCUGCUGGACAUAUCUGGGGUCUGGCUCAACGAGCAGUCCGCAAAUCGGCCUGCCGGACGUCAAGACUAAGGGGCAGUGCUGAAGUUCAUCCUGUCGACUGGCAUAUCCUCUGGGAGUUUGUCAAACCCCAGCUCUUUGCCCUUCUUGGUGCUGUCGUGUUACCCAAUGAGACCUGGCCAACAGAUGCUGAAGAACUUCAACCUCAUCAUCCCCCUCUCUAAGACUGUCGCUAUCGUUGGAGAAUCAGGAGGAGAUAAUGUCCCAUGCGUUUCCAUGGAAACAAACACUCAAUUAAUCUGAUUACAUAAACAAAGGGCCUAUAAUGAGAUUGUAGAAACAUUAGUCUGAAAAUAGUAUAAUUAUGUGGAACCUAAUGAUAUAUUUAUGAAAAUGAUGUGAUUAGUUAUGGCUCUCCGACCUGCAGGGAAGUCUACAGUGGCCUCCUUGCUGGAGCUUUCCUUUGACCCCAGCAGUGGAGUGAUCAUGUUGGAUGGCCUGGAUAUCCGGACACUGGACCCAUCUCAGAGGACAAGUCAUUUGAUUCAUCAUUCAGGACCCUGUGCUGUGAUGGAGAACAUUUGCUUUGGUAAGCGGGGGCUACUGAUGCUAAGGUCAUUAAUGCUGCCAAGCAGGCCAACGACCACCGCUUCCUCACAGACUUUCCAGAUGGAUACAACCCUGUGGUGGGUAUCUUCUCUUCCUAGGCUGGUAUUGCUGAGCAAAGGAGAGCUGCUGACCUCAUCUGCAGGCAGAGAUCAGAGGGACAGAUGUGAACAGUACUUUGCAGAGCUGCCAACUCUCACUUGAUUGGCCGUGAGACAAACGCACGCAUUUUACCCUCUUUUCACGCUCUCACGGACACCUCUUAUAUCUCACAAAUAGUAAAGUACUGCUUUUAUUUUUCAAAUUUGUCCAUUGUAUAGUCAGCACGUUAACUUUUCGACUGUACUCCAAAUUCUUUUGAAAUCGGAGCAUCUGCGCCUGCAAUUUAACAUCACGAGCGGAAUCUCCAUCAAUGUACUAUCAUUGUCCUGUCUUGCCACAGCACUGUGAACCGCUUCACAUUGAAGCAUAUGAUUGGUCUAGUUAUGUAAAGGAUCAAGGUGAUUGGAUGCAUGUUUUAAAGAAACACCCCUCAAGAUUAGAGUGGAGCUGAAUGGAGAGAGAAAAUGAUCUACUGAGUUUAUAAAACUAAAGAGAGCAGCACGGUAGCGCUGUUUCAUGUACAAUGUUUUCAAUAAAAUUAGGUUGCUGUUACUCCCAUCUUAUUGCAGAAUGCAGUCUUCUGACAGCAUGCACUAAAGUCGAUUUAAUCCACACUUGCAUUAGUCCCCUCGAUUGGUGAUUGGCAUUUAGGCUGUGACAACAAAAAGGCAGCAGACAGACCUACAGUAUGUUUUAGCAAGGAAGUUUGGUAGGAUGACUUGCUUUGUAAUUAUGAAAAUAAUUUUGUCAAACCAGAUUUUGAACCCAAACUUGUAAGUUUGAUUCUAGAAGGGGAACGUUAAAUAUAAAAUAAUUUGGGUAGAGUGUAGGGGCAGAUUCAUGUCAUAUUGUCUUCAGGAGAUUUUAUUAGCUAUUUACUUAGUUUAGUCUGAUCAAUAGAACAAUUCUCAUUCUUAACAAUGAGCUAAAAUAUUGGGUAAUUACUGUGCUUGUCAGCAAGAACACUACUGUUAUUCCCCACACUUAUUUUAAUAUUCCACUAAUCACAUAUUUGAAAUCUGAUAUGACUACAGUGCAUUCGGAGAGUAUUCAAACCCCAUGACUUUUUCCACAUUUUGUUACCUUACAGCCUUCUUCUAAAAUUGAUACAUUUGUUUUUCCUCUUAUCAAUCUACAUACAAUACCGCAUAAUGACAAAGCAGAAACAGGUUUGAAUUUUUUGGGGUAAAUGUAUUAAAAACUGAAAUAUCACAUUUA